rnacentral:rRNA from 1 species
UACAGAGGUCUCAAGCGUUGUUCGGAUUCACUGGGCGUAAAGGGUGCGUAGGUGGUGAGGUAAGUCGGAUGUGAAAGCUCGGAGCUCAACUCCGAAAUGGCAUUGGAAACUACCUUGCUCGAGGGUUGGAGGGGGACUGGAAUGCUUGGUGUAGCAGUGAAAUGCGUAGAUAUCAAGCGGAACACCAGUGGCGAAGGCGAGUCCCUGGAACAACUCCUGACACUGAGGCACGAAAGCUAG